UGUCUGAGGUAAAGGGUACUGUUUCUGCUUUGCCGAGUCAUUCCUUUGUUCAGCUGUCUGAGGGAAGUAUCUCCUUGCUUUAGUUCUCUUCCCGAGUCAUUGCUUAAAGUAGGUGCGCUAGGUUAAGAUGAAAGGAAGGCAAGAGCAUGAAUAAGAGAGGCGGGGAAGUAUUAGUUGCUUACGUAGCUUUAAGAAUAGGGAACAAGUGAUCAGCUCCAUUCCUUAUUUAUAUAGGUAUGCAGGCUUUCAGCACCUUAUUUAUAUAGGUAUGCAGGUGAGAGAGCAAAAUGGAAUGUUUUAUUCGUUGCAACUAGUCCGGUUACUUGUGUUUAAGUCUGCGCAAGGAAAAGAGAAAACGAAUUCUAAAGAUGGUGCAGGUCCAGGCCCAACAUAAUAUACAGUGAGAGUGAAGUACUAUUACUCGAGUUCAAGAAGUUUAAGCCAUUAAGGAAGCAGUGCCAUAAGCUAGAUCCCGAUCAGAUGAAAAAGAUGGGGAUGCGGUGUAUUUACUUUUGUCUAUACCAGAUGCUCACUAGACUCUAAUUCGAAAGUGGAAUGUCCAGCUCAACAACUAAGGUCAAGUGAAAGGGAAAGGGAAAGCCGUUUGUCGUAGUAACUUGUCUGACGGAUAAGCUUGUUCCCUCCGCGCUAAGGAAUAGAAUUGAGGAUGAUGACAGGAACUAAUCCCGCUCUAAGCGUUAGCACCUAUCGGGAAACAGAACAAUCCAAAUAGGAUGUAUGGGAGCGGUAUAAGUCAAAGGAAGAGCGCAAAGAGUACGAGCAAAAGGUUAAGUGGAGAGAAGAGAGGUAAAAGGUGAUUGACCGAGCCGAGUAAGAGAUAGGUUCUUUUGAAAGAGUAUAGAUUCAGCUCUUUAAGAAUGCCUACUAUGCGGUUAAGUUUUCGCAGGGUAUAAAGAAUCGGUUCCUCAAGUCUUGUUCCAGUUAUCGUUUAAGAAGCUUUAUAUGGUACUGCCUUGUUACUCACUAGUUGACUUCUUUAAAGGAGUCCUCUUUACUUGGUACAAGAGUAAGAGUAAUCAAUCAGAAUUUAUUGACUUAUAGUACUAGAGCAAGAAAGAGAAUCAAUUUGUUUCAGAGGUAAACUUCACUUCUUACAAGAUGGGUGGGGGAACAAUAGAAUCUAGUUCGGGUGAGAGGUGGACUCGAGAAGAUGCUUUAUAUGAAUACGUAUAUUGACCAUUAUUUCUAUCCCAUGUGUUCACUUAUCGAAAAUAUUACUUUAUUGUUUCAGUAGCAAGUAUAGUUCUAGGGAUCAGAAGUAAGAGAAUCAGAAGGAAGGAGAAGAUUCCGUACGGUAUCAACGUUAAGGCACAAGUAAACUACAAGCCAAGCAUUAUAUAGAAACAAAGUAAUAAGACAUUAUUUUAUAUGAUCUCGCGGUAGUAAGGGGAGCAUCGCCUAUGACAAACUGAUUAUUGUUUCGGAGUGCUACAAUAUGAGUGACUAGAGUGCGGAGUGAGGAAGCCACGGUUUACGUGAAAGAAAAUAAUAUAUAUAAGCAAAUAUAUAAGUAUGCUGUUGAGCGCCGAUAAGAAGGUUUGAUAGGUAGGUUUAAGCAAAUAUAUAAGUAUGCUGUUGAGCGGCCGAUAAGAAGGUUUGAUAGGUUAUUUCCAACAAUUGAAGUUUACCCAGGCAGAAAACACUAAAAAGAAGGGAAAGGCCAAGCAUAUACUUGUCAGGUUUUAGUCCUUCUCGCCAACCCUAGUGAAACUCAAAAGUCAAAAUAAAACAUAUACUAAUAAGAAUUCAAAGAGGAGGAAGACUUCAACUCGGAUGUUAUAGGUCAUAUUAGCCCGAUGAACAAAGGUGAACUCUUAAUAAGAUAAUAAAAGAAGACUGAUUACUCAUCUCAAGAGGCGCUAUUGGAUGGUUGUUUCAUUUCAGAAUGUCAUAGCUAGAGCUAGCGUGUAGCUGCCAUUAGGUGGGUAGGUAUUCCUUCUU
rnacentral:lncRNA from 1 species